rnacentral:rRNA from 1 species
AUUGAACGCUGGCGGCAGGCCUAACACAUGCAAGUCGAGCGGAUGAAGGGAGCUUGCGCCUGGAUUCAGCGGCGGACGGGUGAGUAAUGCCUAGGAAUCUGCUUGGUAGGGGGGGAUAACGUCCGGAAACGGGUGCUACUACCGCCUACGUCCUGCGGCUGAAAGAGGGGGAUCUUCGGACCUCUCGCUAUCAGAUGAGCGUAGGUCGGAUUAGCUAGUUGGUGGGGUAAAGGCCUACCAAGCCGACGAUCCGUAAGUGGCCUGAGAGGAUGAUCAGUCACACUGGAGCGGAGACGCGGUCAAGGGUCCUGCGGGAGGCAGCAGUGGGGAAUAUUGGACAACGGGCGAAAGCAUGGUCCAGCCAGGCCGAGUGUGUGAAGAAGGUGUUCGGAUUGUAAAGCCGGUUAAGUUGGGAGGAAGGGCAGUAAGUUAAGACCUUGCUGUUUUGACGUUACCAGCAGAAUAAGCACCGGCUAACUUCGUG